rnacentral:tRNA from 1 species
GCUCCUAUCGUUUAAUGGUUAAGACAAUGUUUUUUCGUGACAUAAAUAUGAGUUCGAAUCUCAUUAGGAGUA